UCAAACGCCGCCAUCCACGUGUGAGCCAGGGCGUCUUCGCAGGACAUGCGUCGCCUACGAGACAGACACAGAGGAAGGCCACAACAUUAGAGCUGAUGAAAUGUUUGGCCUGCUCCGUGAUGUCCCCGAAGCUCUCCUCAUCAAACUCCCACUGGGCCGCCGUCACCAAGGCUAACGUGUCGGCGUCGCUGCUUCCCUGGAAAGGGUCCAAUCAACACCAUGAGCACACGUACCGAUUUGGGUUGCGAGUCCAAAAUCGAUAAUCUUGACAGCGGUGCCGCUGGUGUCGACGCACACGAUGUUCUCGGGUUUGAGGUCCAAGUGGAUGAUGAGCUGCCGAUGCAUAAAAGAGACGCCCUGCAGGAUUUGCUGCAUGUAGCGCACGCUUGCCGUUUCCGUGUGCUCGAAGCUGUCGUCCACAAUGCGCUCAAAGAGUUCCCCGCCUGCUAUGCUGCACACAGUGUAGCAUUAAAAAAAAAACUUUCCUCAAUGAAGCAGAGA